AUCAGCUGCUCUAAAGAAAAUAGUGAUUGAUCUGAGGAGGGUCCUCUUCCUUUCAUCUUUAAAGGGGAUGUUCCAGCAUUGGAGCGAUCCAACGCUAGAGCAUCCGAUCUUUCUCGAACCUCAACUCGAGGGAUAGGAAGAUGGGGCGAGGAAAUGAGCAGGGGGUUGGAAUGAGAGGGAUCAGGAAAGAGAUAGGAGAGAGAGCAUCAAGAGAAAAGAGAGAGAGAGAGUAAUAAAAAAAUCGA
rnacentral:lncRNA from 1 species